CCUUAGAUCGUACCCACAUUUACUUGGAUAACUGUGGUAAUUCUAGAGCUAAUACAUGCAAACCAGAGUUCCGACCAGAGAUGGAAGGAACGCUUUUAUUAGAUCAAAACCAAUCGGUGGCGGCUCGUCCGUCCACCGUUUACCUUGGUGACUCUGAAUAACUUUGUGCUGAUCGCACGGUCUCGCACCGGCGACGCAUCUUUCAAAUGUCUGCCUUAUCAACUGUCGAUGGUAGGUUCUGCGCCUACCAUGGUUGUAACGGGUAACGGGGAAUCAGGGUUCGAUUCCGGAGAGGGAGCCUGAGAAACGGCUACCACAUCCAAGGAAGGCAGCAGGCGCGCAAAUUACCCACUCCCGGCACGGGGAGGUAGUGACGAAAAAUAACGAUACGGGACUCAUCCGAGGCCCCGUAAUCGGAAUGAGUACACUUUAAAUCCUUUAACGAGGAUCCAUUGGAGGGCAAGUCUGGUGCCAGCAGCCGCGGUAAUUCCAGCUCCAAUAGCGUAUAUUAAAGUUGUUGCGGUUAAAAAGCUCGUAGUUGAAUCUGUGUGCCACGCUGUCGGUUCAUCGCUCGCGAUGUUUAACUGACAUGAUUGUGGGACGUCCUACCGGUGGACUUAGCCCUCUUUCCGGAGGGCGGUCCAGCUAAUAUCCCAUCGCGGUGCUCUUCAUCGAGUGUCGAGGUGGGCCGGUACGUUUACUUUGAACAAAUUAGAGUGCUCAAAGCAGGCUAUCUUAAGCCUGAAUACUGCGUGCAUGGAAUAAUGGAAUAGGACCUCGGUUCUAUUUUGUUGGUUUUCGGAACCCCGAGGUAAUGAUUAAUAGGGACAGAUGGGGGCAUUCGUAUUGCGACGUUAGAGGUGAAAUUCUUGGAUCGUCGCAAGACGAACAGAAGCGAAAGCAUUUGCCAAAAAUGUUUUCAUUAAUCAAGAACGAAAGUUAGAGGUUCGAAGGCGAUCAGAUACCGCCCUAGUUCUAACCAUAAACGAUGCCAGCUAGCGAUCCGCCGAAGUUCCUCCGAUGACUCGGCGGGCAGCUUCCGGGAAACCAAAGCUUUUGGGUUCCGGGGGAAGUAUGGUUGCAAAGCUGAAACUUAAAGGAAUUGACGGAAGGGCACCACCAGGAGUGGAGCCUGCGGCUUAAUUUGACUCAACACGGG
rnacentral:rRNA from 1 species